AGAGUUUGAUCCUGGCUCAGGAUGAACGCUAGCGGCGUGCCUAAUGCAUGCAAGUCGAACGGGAUCCCAUAGAUUCGUCUAAGGGUGAGAGUGGCGAACGGGUGAGUAACACGUUGGUGACCUGCCCCAGAGAGGGGGACAACCAGUGGAAACGCUGGCUAAUACCCCGGAUGUCAAGGUUUUUAGAAACCCUUGACUGAAGCUCCGGCGCUCUGGGAGGGGCCUGCGGUCCAUCAGCUUGUUGGUAGGGUAACGGCCUACCAAGGCGAAGACGGAUAGGGGGCGUGAGAGCGUGACCCCCCACACUGGUACUGACACACGGACCAGAUACCUGCGGGUAGCAGCAGCAAGGAAUAUUGCCCAAUGGACGAAAGUCUGAGGCAGCAACGCCGCGUGAAGGAAGAAGGCUUUCGGGUUGUAAACUUCUUUUUUGGGGGAAGAGAAAGGACGGUACCCCAAGAAUAAGAUCCGGCUAACUACGUGCCAGCAGCCGCGGUAAAACGUAGGGAUCGAGCGUUAUCCGGAUUUACUGGGCGUAAAGCGCGUGCAGGCGGUUUUCUAAGUCGGACGUGAAAGCUCCUGGCCCAACUGGGAGAGGCCGUUCGAAACUGGAAGACUUGAGGAUGGUAGAGGUAAGUGGAAUUCCCGGUGUAGUGGUGAAAUGCGUAGAUAUCGGGAGGAACACCAGUGGCGAAGGCGGCUUACUGGGCCAUUCCUGACGCUGAGACGCGAAAGCUAGGGGAGAGAACGGGAUUAGAAACCCCGGUAUUCCUAGCCGUAAACGAUGUCAACUAGGUGUAGGGGGUAUCCAACCCCCCUGUGCUGUAGCUAACGCGUUAAGUUGACCGCCUGGGGACUACGGCCGCAAGGCUAAAACUCAAAGGAAUUGACGGGGACCCGCACAAGCAGCGGAGCGUGUGGUUUAAUUCGAGAUACGCGAAGAACCUUACCAGGGUUUGACAUGUACGUGGUAGGAAGGUGAAAGCCGACUGACCCUUCGGGGAGCGUACACAGGUGCUGCAUGGCUGUCGUCAGCUCGUGCCGUGAGGUGUUAGGUUAAGUCCUGUAACGAGCGCAACCCUCGUCGUUAGUUAUACGUGUCUAACGAGACUGCCGGUGAUAAGCCGGAGGAAGGUGGGGAUGACGUCAAGUCAGCAUGGCCUUUAUAUCCUGGGCUACACACACGCUACAAUGGCCGGUACAAUGGGUAGCCAAGCCGCGAGGCGGAGCCAAUCCUUCAAAGCCGGUCUCAGUUCGGAUUGUAGGCUGCAACUCGCCUGCAUGAAGUCGGAGUUGCUAGUAAACGCGCGUCAGCAACAGUGCGUUGAAUACGUUCCCGGGUCUUGUACACACCGCCCGUCACGUCAUGGAAGUUGGCAACGCCUGAAGUCAGUGAGCUAACCCUAACGGGAGGCAGCUGCCCAAGGCGGGGUCGGUAACUGGGACGAAGUCGUAACAAGGUA
rnacentral:rRNA from 1 species